AUAAGUCAAUAAUGUAACACUCAAAAACCUGUUAACAAUAACUCAAAAAGGCAAAAGAUACUGUACUGCUUGCUUUUUCUUCAUGGGGAAUCUUAACAUGCACUUAGCUCUUUGGAAUUGUUAUGAUCAGGGUUCCCUGAAAACAAACUGAGUAGGUUAACAGGCAUAUUAAUCUUAUCCUUAUCUACAAGAUACCUUCCUGUAUGCUUCAGCAUCCUUCAGUCAGAUCCUGUGCUCCACUUGUAAAAAAAUCCAGCCUUCAAAAUGACCCAUCUUACAGGCUUUCUUUGUUGCAGCAGUGCACUGUUCACACAUUGAGCUUGUUGUCCACCAGGAUGGCCAGAUCCUUUCUUACAGAGCUGGUCCCCAGCCAGGUCACUGAUGAAAAGACCGGAGAAAACUGAUUGAAAAACAAAUUCAGAAGCUCUCCACUUCUAUAAGAACUGCAGCAGCAUUACAGAGAAAAUAAGUGACACUCUCUGAUGAUCAGUUUGAUAAAGGUGACAAUAAUAUAUUCACACCUUGACUCCUGUUCUAUAAUUUUAUCACACAGGAACAUAACAACAUAUAUUUCUUUCUUUCUCUAAGUAUUGACAAUAUUCUUCCCAACACCUGAGAAAUUGAUUUAGGGGACAUUUCUUCUAAGAGCAUCUCAAAUGAUUAACGUGCAACAGAAGAGAAUUGC